CCUCUUUCAAUCGAGCGGCGGAAACCCUAUAUCUCGACUGUCGUCGCAAGGCGACUAUGGCAAUAAACGGGCGGUGUAAUAAGCUCUUCGGACCCGGGGGCGGUACCCGGCGCCUCCACCAUGAACCGACGGUUGCAAGCGCGCUUGCCAGGCCGGUUGAUGAUGGGGGCGAAAUAGGAUCGACGGGAGUGUAAAGAUCGACUUUUUGCCCGGCAUGAUACCACCGUUAUCGGGUCAAACUUGUAGUUGCAAACGACAACUAUGCAGAAGCUCGUCUCGCCGCCUAAGGGCAGCGCGACAGUUUCAAUUCAAGCCCUAGUCGGUAUGCUCGGCUAGGCGGGGUCCGGAGGCACCUGGCAACAGAAGCCUCCACC
rnacentral:tmRNA from 1 species